UACGUAGGGUGCAAGCGUUGUCCGGAAUUAUUGGGCGUAAAGAGCUCGUAGGCGGUUUGUCGCGUCGGCUGUGAAAACCUGGGGCUCAACCCCGGGCCUGCAGCCGAUACGGGCAAGCUAGAAUUCGGUAGGGGAGACUGGAAUUCCUGGUGUAGCGGUGAAAUGCGCAGAUAUCAGGGAGGAACACCGGUGGCGAAGGCGGAUCUGCGUGGGACGGUACUGACGCUGAGACGCGAAGCGUGGGGAGCGAACAGG
rnacentral:rRNA from 1 species